CCUCUCGCCCGAAGAUAGAUGGGAUGGGCUCCAGCACGCCGGCGACAGAAAACGGAUGGAUGAUGGCGCCAUGCAAGUCGACUUGCCUCUUGGCCUAUAAAAGGCUUGAAAACUUGCAUUUUGAAAAUGUACAGGAUACAUUUCAGCGCUACAGAAAAGUGCAAACCAGAGAAAAGUCACAUUCAAGUCAGACAUGCAUGACUUAUUCCAUCUCUCACAGCUUCCACGGCGAACUGUUCUCCACAGUAAAUGUGCAUGUGAGAUGCACACAAAGGCUCUAUUUUAUUUAUAAUUUUUUUUUCCAAGGGGUAUAACAAAAAAGUGUGGCAGCUUGCACAUGACGAGUGGAGGCAUGACCCAAACCCGGGCGGGGCUCUUUUUUUGUUGCCGUCCUUUUGAAUCCACAUGCAGGGCUCUUAUGAGCGUCCCGGGUCCGGUCAGCGGCGGCACACUCGAGCGGAGUGCACUUCCAGGCAGGACACGGCGCAGCAAGUCAACGUGCAAGCGGCUGUAAGCCCGUGCCGCUGUCGCCCGCCUGAAGCCAUGACCUCCAAGUCACCUCUGCUCAAGGUCAUUCUCUUGGGCGACGGCGGCGUCGGCAAGUCGUCCCUCAUGAACCGCUACGUUAGCGAGAAGUUUGACUGCAAGCUCUUCCACACCAUCGGCGUGGAGUUCCUCAACAAGGAGCUGGAGGUGGACGACCAAAGUGUCACGCUGCAGAUCUGGGACACGGCGGGCCAGGAGCGCUUCCGCAGCCUGCGCACGCCCUUCUACCGCGGCUCCGACGGCUGCUUGCUCACCUUCGGCGUGGACGACGCGCAGAGCUUCCGCAACCUGGCCAACUGGAAGAAAGAGUUCGCCUACUACGCCGACCUCAAGGAGCCCCACGCGUUCCCCUUCGUGGUGCUGGGCAACAAAGUGGACGUGGACGAACGGCAGGUGUCGGCGGAGGACGCGCGGCGGUGGUGCCGCGACAACGGCGGACUCGCCUACUUUGAGACCAGCGCCAAGGAGGCUACCAACGUGGCGUCGGCCUUCGAGGAGGCGGCUCGUCGGAUGCUCGCGCUGGACGAGCGCGACGACCACCUGGUCCACGCCGACACGGUGGACCUGAGCAGGAAGAGCGGCUCGGAUUCCGGCUGCUGCUGAAGUCGAGUUGGAACGCGCCUCUCCAGAAGUGCCCAUCGUGGCUGCGGCGAGCUAUGAACUAUCAGACGUCGGUACGGUCAGAACUGGCCCACGGCUCCUUAGGGCCUGAAGCACAUUUUAAUUUGAGCCUGACAUAUACCUUCCGGAUACUUCCAGCUCGGGCGUGUGGAGAGUCUUACGCUAAAGGUAAACACGUAUGCAACACUCGGUUAGGCGACUUGUAAUUCACGCUCUGCAAAACCGACCACCAAGUCCGCUCGGCUCCUCGCGAGUUGCGGCGGCACGGGCCCAACGGCGAGCGCCGAUGUUCUCCGCCCCCUCACGUCACGCAAGCGACGGUGUGAUAACGCAUCACUUCACUCGCCCUGUCGCGCUUUUCUUUUACGACUUGUGUUUGCACACUUCAUAGUGUCGUUAAGACUCUGAGGUAACUGGCAUCUGCAUUACGACUUGUAAUGUCUGACUGUACGUUCUUCUUCGUCUCUUAUUUCUUUUUGUUUCUAUGUACUCUUCGUGUAUAGUGCCCCUUUGUGUUGAGACUAAGAGAGCACAUAAUAUUUGAGUGAGCUGUGUGGCAAGACUGUUAGAAAACGUUUGCCACGUUCAAGACAAGUUUGUGUUUUGUGUUUCCGAACAAAAUUGGAUUCAACUAAAACACAUUUUUGUCACAGUUGCAAGACUUUAUUAAAUAUCACUACUUGGUAGUCAAAUAUAAGUACUUUUUUUUUUUUUUUUUUUUUUUUUACUUAAAGGAGGUAUGGGUCUUAAUGGUCCAUAUUUCCCUCACAAGUUUGUUUUAUUUUUGCUGAAAAAAAGAAACUGGCAGUCAUUUCCGAUCAUAUCAAUCCAUUUUGGAGCAAUUGAUUGGCUUUGGAACGCCUAAAUGGACACGCCCCCCUCAUCUCGUUGUGACGUCACCUCUGAACUUUUCAGAAACCAAAAACAAAAAGCAGACAGCUUGCUCGAGUUUCCAAAUCGCACUUUGUCCAAUCUUAUUUUGCUGUCAUAUACGGUUGCGCGCUCCCUACUCUCCAAAGACGCCGGCUGGUUCCCCUUCUUUCUCAGUUCUUUUUCUUUCCAGGCCCGCGCUUGUCACCAAAACGGAUGCGGACAUCUUUACGUUUCUCAGGGGAUGUCGUCGAUCUUUGUCAGCUGUGGGCCUGUGAAGCCCUUUGAGACUCUUUUGUGACGAAGGGCAAAAACAAAUCAACUUGACUCGACUGCGAAUGCCCACUUCACCCUCGGAAAAUAUCAGAGGGAUCGCCCCGAUAUUUUGGAUUUGAUGGACGUAAAGCGUGAGCGUCUUUUGAAACAUCUUUGAGCAAUGCAAAAUUGAACUGACGAAAACCGUUUGCAGGUGCAGAAAUGAAUGUGCAAGAGUUACCUCCUAGGAUGACUUCUUUCCUCAAGGCAGCAUUUCAACUUGUCUAAAAAAAAUAAAAAUAAAAAUUAAAAAAAAUCCAUAAAAUGAAAGCUCAGAGGUUCAGUGAGGAAAAGUCAUCGGCUUCUGCUCGUGACGUGUCAGGCUGUCACAGGCUGACGUGCCCGGAAUGUGGGCGGGACUAAAUCAUUUAUUUCAUCCGAAAACCAGCCUAAAAUGACUACUUAUUCUAUUUAGGGGGGAUUUUUUUGAUGGAUGGAAUAAGUUCCGUGAUUCGGAGGAUUAGAUCGGCUCUUUUGAAGUGUGAUAUACUUUUGCCACCUCUCGGCCACAAUGAGUUCAAUAAAUGGCGAAGCUCCUGCACUGUGUUUCGAUUUUUGCAUCGGAAAAAGUAAAGAGUAAUACUUGGAAUUGUCCACCAGUGGGCGCUCGAGUGACAAGUGGCGCCUGUGGAACUGCUGAACGUGAUGUGGGCUAAUUGGGCUCGGUUGCGCUCAGCUGCUUCAUUCACUCUGUCCGGACUCCCCUAUAACUGUAUGUUAUGUUUAUUUUUUAUGUUUGUGUAUGACUAUAUGUCUCAUUUCAGUAUUCGAGGACAGUUUCCAUCCCCCACUCAUGACAUGUCAACUAUGUACAAAAUAAAAAAACAACAACAUAUAGUUGUUGUGUAAAUUAUACAGCAAAAGUGAUACCUAAAUAUUGUUUUAAUAUACUCAAUAGCGCUUGAGCACCCCAAAGUAGCUUUUCGCUCCCUCUUGACCGACCAACUUACACAUCAAAUGUAACAGA